rnacentral:rRNA from 1 species
GACAGGUGCUGCAUGGCUGUCGUCAGCUCGUGUCGUGAGAUGUUCGGGUUAAGUCCCGCAACGAGCGCAACCCUCGCUGUGUGUUAUAUGUGUCACACGGGACUGCCGGUCUUAAGCCGGAGGAAGGUGGGGAUGAUGUCAAGUCAGCAUGGCCUUUAUAUCCUGGGCUACACACACGCUACAAUGGCCAACACGAUAGGUUGCUAAGCCGCGAGGUGGCGCCAAUCCAUAAAGUUGGUCUCAGUUCAGAUUGUAGGCUGCAACCCGCCUGCAUGAAGAUGGAGUUGCUAGUAACCGCAGGUCAGCUACACUGCGGUGAAUACGUUCCCGGGGCUU